UGCGUAGGCGGUGGGGUAAGUUUGAGGUGAAAGCUCCGGGCUCAACCCGGAAACUGCCUUGAAUACUAUCCGGCUAGAGGGUUGGAGGGGAGACUGGAAUUCUCGGUGUAGCAGUGAAAUGCGUAGAUCUCGAGAGGAACACCAGUGGCGAAGGCGAGUCUCUGGACAACACCUGACGCUGAGGCACGAAAGCCAGGGGAGCAAACG
rnacentral:rRNA from 1 species